GGGGCAUAGCUCAGUGGUAGAGUGCAUGCUUAGCAUGCAUGAGGUCCUGGGUUCAAGCCCCAGUACCAUCA
rnacentral:tRNA from 1 species